GACGAACGCUGGCGGCGUGCUUAACACAUGCAAGUCGAACGGAAAGGCCCUGCUUUUGUGGGGUGCUCGAGUGGCGAACGGGUGAGUAACACGUGAGUAACCUGCCCUUGACUUUGGGAUAACUUCAGGAAACUGGGGCUAAUACCGGAUAGGAGCUCCUGCUGCAUGGGGGGGGUUGGAAAGUUUCGGCGGUUGGGGCUGGACUCGCGGCUUAUCAGCUGGUUGGUGGGGUAGUGGCUUACCAAGGCUUUGACGGGUAGCCGGCCUGAGAGGGUGACCGGCCACAUUGGGACUGAGAUACGGCCCAGACUCCUACGGGAGGCAGCAGUGGGGAAUAUUGCACAAUGGGCGGAAGCCUGAUGCAGCAACGCCGCGUGCGGGAUGACGGCCUUCGGGUUGUAAACCGCUUUCGCCUGUGACGAAGCGUGAGUGACGGUAAUGGGUAAAGAAGCACCGGCUAACUACGUG
rnacentral:rRNA from 1 species